AGUGAACGCUGGCGGUAGGCCUAACACAUGCAAGUCGAACGGCAGCACAGUAAGAGCUUGCUCUUACGGGUGGCGAGUGGCGGACGGGUGAGGAAUACAUCGGAAUCUACUUUUUCGUGGGGGAUAACGUAGGGAAACUUACGCUAAUACCGCAUACGACCUACGGGUGAAAGCAGGGGAUCUUCGGACCUUGCGCGAUUGAAUGAGCCGAUGUCGGAUUAGCUAGUUGGCGGGGUAAAGGCCCACCAAGGCGACGAUCCGUAGCUGGUCUGAGAGGAUGAUCAGCCACACUGGAACUGAGACACGGUCCAGACUCCUACGGGAGGCAGCAGUGGGGAAUAUUGGACAAUGGGCGCAAGCCUGAUCCAGCCAUACCGCGUGGGUGGAGAAGGCCUUCGGGUUGUAAAGCCCUUUUGUUGGGAAAGAAAAGCAGCAGGUUAAUACCCCGCUGUUCUGACGGUACCCAAAGAAUAAGCACCGGCUAACUUCG
rnacentral:rRNA from 1 species